rnacentral:lncRNA from 1 species
CAGUAGGCAUGGUGACAGCUGCUACAUGCUAGGGCAACACUUACUCCAGGGCCUGGCCAAACACCUGCAAUCAUACAAUGGGGGGUGCUUCCUUCUCAUGAGGGGCAAGGAUGAGGAACAAAGCCAAAAUUACAUUGAGCUCUUUUCUUAGGCUCCUGUGACCUUAAUGAGCCUAAGCAGGUCAGUGAGGUAGGUGACAGUGUCAAGUGCCCACGAGGCCUGUAGACUGGUUCUCCAAAAGCUGUAAACAGAAUAAAGUGGAGCGGAUAACGAUGGGGACCUCAGAGCUCACUCAGUCAAGGUCACACUCCAAUGACCACUGUGGACACUGAGAAGAUCAUUCAUUUACAUUCUGCUUAGCUCUAGAGUUGACCAAGCGCUGGCUCCUUCAUGGACCGCCAGGAAAGGGGACUUGGACAACACCUAAGAAAGACAAAUAGCUACCAAAGGCUGAAGGAAAAACAACAACAACAACCAACCUCAACUUAUCAACUGUCCUUCCUCAUCUCUGAGGUUUUGACCCAUCAGAGCCAGGCAGCAGGGGGAGGAGAAAUGCCUUCCGGCCAUGCUGCCAUCAGGAAAGGCAGAAUGGGGGCGGCUGAGGAUGCGGACAUGUCUAUCUCCUAUGAACAUGGCACCGGGCUCCAUGGAGCAGCACUUGUCCCCUGCGGAAGAGAGGGCACAGACAUCACUGUAACGUCCAGCGUACACAGGAAGAAAACAGAGCUUGUGGUCAAUAACAGGAUUUGUAGGAUGGGGAUUCCCAGCCAGCAGGGACAGCCAUCUUGAAGACACUCGAGAACUCUGUGAGGACUGCCAGGAUGCUCUUUGAACAUGACUUUGGUGAUCUGUGGGCAUCUCUGCCCCUCUCCCACAUCACCAGUGUUUAUUAACAUCAUGGGUUUAAAAAAAUCUUUUCUAAUUUGA